rnacentral:rRNA from 1 species
CUGAUGACUGGGGUGAAGUCGUAACAAGGUAGCCGUACCGGAAGGUGCGGCUGGAUCACCUCCUAA